CCUACGGGUGGCAGCAGUGAGGAAUAUUGGUCAAUGGACGCAAGUCUGAACCAGCCAUGCCGCGUGAAGGAUGACGGCUCUCUGAGUUGUAAACUCCUUUUGUACGAGGGUAAACCCCGGUACGUGUAUCGGGAUGAAAGUAUCGUACGAAUAAGGAUCGGCUAACUCCGUUCCAGCAGCCGCGGUAAUACGGAGGAUCCAAGCGUUAGCCGGAUUUAUUGGGUUUAAAGGGUGCGUAGGCGGUUUGAUAAGUUAGAGGUGAAAUGUCGGGGCUCAACCACGAAACUGCCUAUAAUACUGUUGGACUAGAGAAUAGUUGCGGUAGGCGGAAUGUAUGGUGUAGCGGUGAAAUGCGUAGAGAUCAUACAGAACACCGGUGGCGAAGGCAGCUUACCAAACUAUAUCUGACGUUGAGGCACGAAAGCGUGGGUAGCAAACAGGAUUAGAUACCCUUGUAGUC
rnacentral:rRNA from 1 species